GUCGAGAAUAAUUCACAAUGGGGGAAACCCUGAUGGUGCAACGCCGCGUGGAGGAUGAAGGUCUUCGGAUUGUAAACUCCUGUCAUCCGGGAGCAAGACCUGGGCGUGAAUAGCGUACAGGUUUGAUAGUACCGGAAGAGGAAGGGACGGCUAACUUCGUGCCAGCAGCCGCGGUAAUACGAAGGUCCCAAGCGUUGUUCGGAAUCACUGGGCGUAAAGGGUGCGUAGGCGGCGUGGUAAGUCAGAUGUGAAAUCCCGGGGCUCAACCUCGGAACUGCAUCCGAUACUGCCAUGCUUGAGGGCUGGAGAGGUAACUGGAAUUCUCGGUGUAGCAGUGAAAUGCGUGGAUAUCGAGAGGAACACUCGUGGCGAAGGCGAGUUACUGGACAGCAUCUGACGCUGAGGCACGAAGGCCAGGGGAGCGAAAGGGAUUAGAUACCCUAGUAGUCC
rnacentral:rRNA from 1 species